GUGGGUGUAAAAAACUGACCGUGCGGCGCCGGUUGGUGGAACCUGGGCGCUGGGGAAGGGAGCGGGGACCCGGCAGCCCCGGGCGCUCCGCAAGUGGUGAGCAAUUUGGCCUGCUGAUAGGAUGUUACCUCUUUUUUCCUGCUGCCACCUUGGAUGACUUGUCCAGAGUCUUUACAAAUUACUAUUGGCAAUGUUGAAAUGUGAGUAGCGAUACUGGGAGGACCCAACCUACCCCUUGCGCCAUUGGCUCAUGAAGGCAUCCACCUCAACAGCACCCAGGAAAGAUUCAGCUACCAGCUCAGCAUGUGCAGAAUGACAGUUGGGUGCAUAGGCAGCAGCGUGAAAUGUUGGAGCAAAAAAUGGACGACCUACUGAGUCAUCAGAGACAAUUUGUCGAAAAUAAUCGUCGGUCCUUAGAACAGAAAAUAAAAGAAAAGGAAAAGUCUUCUACAUUUCUAAGAAGUGUUUCAUCAGCUACAUGACUUACUGACAGGGGAUCUGCCGUGCGACCAGAUAAACCAGGACUUGCAGCAAGCCAACGAUGCUCUACGAGCAGAACUCAACAAAGAAAUGGAGGAAAAAAACCUUCUUCGCUGCCAGUCUGAUCAAAAAUCUCAAGAAAUCCAUCAGCUGCAAGAAGAACUGAAAACAGCUAAACAGUUUCUGAAGGAGACCCAGAAUUAUGCGGAAGAGAUGAAAAAGAAGAGUUUGUCUCAGGAAAUACAAUUAGAAAAGAAAGAAGCUGAGAUUUGGGAUUUAGAGGGGAAAAAUCAAGAUUUGACUGAGGAACUUGAGAAAGUGCAGUCAGAGUUGCAACUUAAACAAGCUGAGAUCGCUCAUCUCCAAAAUCUAUCUGCAGCCGAGUUGGCUUGUUUAAAAAAGGAAAUAGUAAACAUCAAGGCAGAGCAAAAGAAACUUCAAGAGCAACUUAACAACUCGCUUCAAGAAAAUGAGCAACUGAGCAAGCAAAGCAUUCUUACUCUCUGGCUACAAGGAAACUGUUUACACUCAUGAACGUGAAAAAAAUCAUCCAUACCCCGUGCAUCCACUUUCAUAAGUGCAAGGCUAUUUGGGGAACCAGUGAAAUUAGUAGCUGAGACAACAGAAGCCUGAACCCUCCUUGUCAAAGCCGGCAUAGUAAUCCAUUGGUCACUGCCAACACCAAAGGUAUUCAUGAAGAGAGUGGUUUCAGAGUAGCAGCCGUGUUAGUCUGUAUCCGCAAAUAGAACAGGAGUACUUGUGUCACCUUAAAGACUAACAAAUUUAUUUUAGCAUGCAGAGGGGAGAGUAUGAAGCAGAAGCUCACAUAGAUGACCUAAAUCUUAUACUUCCCAAACAAUUAAAUCUUCAGCAUCACAAAGACAAAAUGAGCAUUUGUGUGUGAAGAGUUUACAAUUCCUAUACAAGACUCUUCGUUUUGACCUAUCCUCUGUGUUGAGAGGUUUAAAUGGCUGGUAGUAUCACAGCAAGGCUGAGGUCUCAAGUUACACAACCCUGUCCAUUUACAGACAACAUCACUGUUUGUGCCCUGACCAGCGAAACAGAUCCAUUCCCAACUUGCCAGCUGCUAGAAAGGAUACCAACCCCCCUGGAGUUCAAAAUCAGAAUAUUCUGAAUCCAGUGCAGGACAUUGUUCAACCAGGUUAAAAUAGGCAUGGCCUGGACUCUAAAUUUACCACUAUGGUAAAGAUUUACAAAGACCCAAAACUUCAUCUCAUCAAUUGUAUCCUGGCAGCAGUCACCCCCGAGCUAGUUUUCCCCAGUGACCAGGUUUGCUGAUGCCAUGCAUUGGUAAUGUCCUCUGAGUGGGAUUUCUCAAUGUGUCUCCAGAAAUUCCAUUUGUGGACACGUCAUUCUCAGAUCCUGUCCAAAUGUCUCUUUUGGGGCAGGUAAGUACAAGGAACAUACUUUAAGCCAACCCAGUUUUCACUUUGGCCCUUGUAUGAUUG